GAGUAUUGGUUUAUCUGGCUGUGGAGCGCCUCAUCAGCAAUGACUACACCAUCGAGGGCACUGUAAUGCUCAUCACCUCUGGUUGUGCUGUGUUGGCUAAUAUUGUGGGUCUCAGCUCGCAUGGACAUGGCCACAGUCACAAAAAAGGACACGAUCAGAUCUCAAACCAAACCCACUUGAAUGAUGAACGCAUAGACCUGGAGAAAAACAAGGUCUUUCAUGGACAGAAGGCUCAGCCACCCAGUUCCAGUAUGUAAGCGGCCUUUGUCCACGGGGUGGGAGAUCUUCUUCAGAGCAUCAGCACGCUCUCAGCGCCAUCAUUAUCUUCUUCAACGUUAGAAGUAUGUCUAAAAGUACUGUCUGCACACGUAGCUAU